UACGUAGGGGGCUAGCGUUGUCCGGAUUUACUGGGCGUAAAGCGCACGUAGGCGGAUUGUUAAGUCAGGGGUGAAAUCCCGGAGCUCAACUCCGGAACUGCCUUUGAUACUGGCAAUCUUGAGGCUGGAAGAGGUUAGUGGAAUUCCCAGUGUAGAGGUGAAAUUCGUAGAUAUUGGGAAGAACACCAGUGGCGAAGGCGGCUAACUGGUCCAGAUCUGACGCUGAGGUGCGAAAGCGUGGGGAGCAAACAGG
rnacentral:rRNA from 1 species